rnacentral:rRNA from 1 species
AUUGAACGCUGGCGGCAUGCUUUACACAUGCAAGUCGAACGGUAACAGGGAUCUUGCUCCGCUGACGAGUGGCGAACGGGUGAGUAAUGCGUCGGAACGUGCCGAGUAGUGGGGGCUAACGCAUCGAAAGGUGUGCUAAUACCUCAUACGUACUGGGGUAGAAAGUGGGGGACCUUCGGGCCUCACGCUAUUCGAGCGGCCGACGUCUGAUUAGCUAGUUGGUGAGGUAAAGGCUCACCAAGGCGACGAUCAGUAGCGGGUCUGAGAGGAUGAUCCGCCACACUGGGACUGAGACACGGCCCAGACUCCUACGGGAGGCAGCAGUGGGGAAUUUUGGACAAUGGGCGCAAGCCUGAUCCAGCCAUGCCGCGUGUCUGAAGAAGGCCUUCGGGUUGUAAAGGACUUUUGUCCGGGAGCAAAUGCUGGUGGCUAACAUCCACCGGAGCUGAGAGUACCGGAAGAAUAAGCACCGGCUAACUACGUGCCAGCCGCCGCAGUAAAAC